GAUGAACGCUGGCGGCGUGCCUAAUACAUGCAAGUAGAACGCUGAAGCUUGGUGCUUGCACCGAGCGGAUGAGUUGCGAACGGGUGAGUAACGCGUAGGUAACCUGCCUCUUAGCGGGGGAUAACUAUUGGAAACGAUAGCUAAUACCGCAUAAAAGUCGAUAUCGCAUGAUAUUGAUUUGAAAGGUGCAAAUGCAUCACUAAGAGAUGGACCUGCGUUGUAUUAGCUAGUUGGUGAGGUAACGGCUCACCAAGGCGACGAUACAUAGCCGACCUGAGAGGGUGGUCGGCCACACUGGGACUGAGACACGGCCCAGACUCCUUCGGGAGGCAGCAGUAGGGAAUCUUCGGCAAUGGGGGCAACCCUGACCGAGCAACGCCGCGUGAGUGAAGAAGGUUUUCGGAUCGUAAAGCUCUGUUGUAAGAGAAGAACGAGUGUGAGAGUGGAAAGUUCACACUGUGACGGUAACUUACCAGAAAGGGACGGCUAACUACGUG
rnacentral:rRNA from 1 species